AGCGUUGUGCAAGCAGGCUCUGGAGACCCGCAGGCUCCUGGGCAGAGGGCUGCCUUCUGUGUGGGCUUGCCCCUCGCCACACCUGGCCAGGAGCCUCCCCCAGCCCCGUGACCCUUGUGUCAGAGCCUGGCCAGAUGACAGACGGCCUGGGGUGCAGGCGAGACCCACUGAACUGGCAGCUGAGGACAGGUCCAGGCCCAGUGGCUGGGGGACUUCUCAGAGCAGGUACCACAACAGCUACCCAAGGACUCAGGACUUUUCUCCCACAGCCAGACUUGGUGAUUGCAUGAAGGAGCCCAGCCUCGGAUGACCUUUCCCCGUGACAAGGCACUAGGAGAGCACAGACCUCCCCACACAAACACAGGCGAGCUGGUGGAUUCAACUGGGACUCAGAAGACUGCACUUGAGGAGAUCAUCGUGAGUUGAAGAUCUCUUGCUUAGUCUCGCAGAAACUUCAUCAAGUCUAGCUCACCUGGGAGUCAGUUGGUGCCGGCGAAUCAAUUCGUGCCAGUGAAAUUCACCAAGAGCCUGAUUUACAAACUAGAGAGCCAUGGCCUUAAUUUUAGAGCAAAAGACAAACUUUUCCAAUGAAUAUAGUUUUCUUGUCCAAUAGCUAGGACACCCCCCUCCACCUGCUGUGUACUAAUGAAGCAGAUUUUUUUUUUUGAGUUUUGCUCUUGUUGCCCGGCUGGAGUGCAAUGACACCAUCUUGGCUCACCACAACCUCCACCUCCGGUUUCAAGUGAUUCUCCUGCCUCAGCCUCCCAAGUAGCUGGGAUUACAGGCAUGUGCCACCAUGCCUGGCUAAUUUUGUAUUUUUAGUAGAGACGGGGUUUCUCCAUGUUGGCCAGACAGGUCUCGAACUCCCAACCUCAGGUGAUCCACCCGCUUUGGCCACCCAAAGUACUGGGAUUACAGGCGUGAGCCACAGCGCCCGGCCAAUGAAGCAGAAUUUUUAGCCAGAUGUGUGUGAUACACCAAACCAAAGUGAAAGGAAUUGAAUGACCCUGGAACUUGCUUCAUCUGAUAGGAUGCAUUAGAUAGAGGCUGAUAGAAUAUCUCUUCCCAGAUGGUGAAUAAACUUUUUCUAGUGACCAACAUGUUUAUGUUCGCUAAACACAAUGUCUUUCUGCUUUGACAGUGCUGGAAGUAACUAUUCUUAACUUCGUCCGCUCUUUUGGCACCCCCGGAGGCUCAGGCCCCUGCUCUUUGCCCAUAGUGACAAGAUGAUGCAUUAUUUGUGGUUAAUCCCAUUUAAGAAGGGCUGCUUCCUAAAGGUAUCUAAGAAAAGACCUUAAUUUCCUUAGUCCUAGAAGUGUGCGAAGCACCCAGUGGCUUAGUUUCUAGUCCCAGCUCUGCCACAUCCUAGCUGGUGUCCUUGUACAGAAUUACUUCACUUCUACAAGCCUCAGUUUCUUCAUUUGUAACCUACUUACUUCUGGUUAAAGGUUGAUCAUCAUGUAGAUAAAAAAUACAAGGCCAGGUGCGGUAGCUCACGCCUGUAAUCCCAGCUCUUGGGGAGGCCAAGGUGUGCAGAUCACAAGGUUAGGAGUUCGAGAUCACCCUGGCCAAUAUGGUGAAACACCAUCUCUACUAAAAAUACAAAAAUUAGCCUGGUGUGGUGGCUGGUGCCUGUAGUUUCAGCUACUCAGGAGUCUGAAGCAGGAGAAUCGCUUGAACCCAGGAGGCAGAGGUUGCAGUGAGCUGAGAUCGCCCCACCGCACUCCAGCCUGGGUGACAGUGCGAGACUCCAUCUCAAAACAAUCAAACAAACAAACAUAUAUAUAUAUAUAUAUAUAUAUAUAUGGGUCGGGCACUGUAGCUCAUACCUGUAAUCCCAGCUCUUUGGGAGGCCAAGGUGGGUGGAUCCCUUGAGCCCAGGAGUUCAAGACCAGCCUGGCCAAACCCCAUCCCUACAAAAAAUACAAAAAUUAACCCAGCGUGGUGGUGUGUGCCUGUGGUCCCAGCUACUUGAGAAGUUGAGGUGAGAGAAUCACUAGAGCCUGGGAGGUUGAGGCUGUAGUGAGCUGUGUUCAUGCCACUGCACUCCAGCCUGGGCAACAGAAUGAAACCCUGUUUCAAAAAAAAAUACUUUAUAGCAACAGAAGGGAACCCUCAUGGAAACUAUGGACUUUGGGUGAUAAUGACAAAUCUGUGUAGAUUCAUUGAUUGUAAGAAAUGUGCCAUUCUGGUGAGGGUUGUUGAUAAGGGGUGCGGGGCAGGGGCAGGGGGCAGUAAGCGGGGGCAGGGAACUCUCUCUUCCUUCCUCUUAAUUCUUCUGUGAACUUAAAAUUGCUCUUAAAAAUUAAGUCUUUAAUAGAAAUAAACACAUAAUAAACUCUAAAAAUACUAAGAUCUGAAUGUCGAAAAAAUUUGUAAUUGUUCUAAUAACCAUAGAUAACAACAGCACAUAGACCACAUUACAAUCGGCGGUUUUCCCGCAUGCAGCUCGUCCCAUUCGUAGUGUGAAAGUCUCAUUAGCUUCGAUUUUAAGCAGUGCGUUUUUUUUAAUCUUCCCCUACGUUCUGGUUCCCAUCUUAUUUUUGAGGCCCAUAGCUGUCUAAGUCAUGGUAUGUGCAGAGAGAGAUUUUUUCCUGCUGAUUGUAUGAAAAAUUGUGCAAAAGGGGUUGUCAUCUAAAAAAGCGUGUGACACUGGGAGAGACCUUGUAUAGUGAGCAGGGCUUCCCAUGAGUUCAUCCUGGAUCUUUCACUGAGAACAGGAUGUUUUGUCAAGGAUGGGCAAAGAGGGGCACAGCAGAAAGACAAAAGGAUGUGCCAGCUACAAAAACCACGUGGGCCAAGGACAGGGGGCUGCAAUGCAAAGACUGGAACUUGCAGCACGGCAAACUAGAGCGUGGCAAGAUUAGCGUUUCAGACUCCAGACAAGGCCACUUCCCUCUCCAGGAAAGACGAUCUCCUCACCAACACAAGCGCUUGGCGCUUCCCUUUUCCGUCCAGGCGUCCUGGCUGGAACGAGGAAACUCAAAAGUGCUACGAAAGAACAAAAGUGGCCCAAAUUCUGAAAAUUCUUAAAAUUAAAAGAUUGUAACUCAAAGGAAGAUAAAGAGCAUGACUUUUAAUUUCUCCAAGCUACUUCAUUCAUUUUCAGUGCCAAAAACCCAAUGCCAGUCUUACAUAGUAAUCCACUUACUGUAGUUGAAACCUGAGGUGUGAAAAGUUCCGUGUUGACAAAGAUUUGCAUCAGCUGCUGCCGCUAAACAACAUGUAAAAACUUGCAGUUUAAUUUUAGCUUCAGAACAAAUAAGCGCUUUUCCAAACCCACCCAGGAGCGCAGGCUGUCACUAGGUCUACAGGUGUGCUCUGAAAUCAGACACUAUCAAGAAAUUCUAUCGUGCUAAAAUGAACAAGGAGCCGGGACGGCACAAUCCAUCAUUUUUUAAUGUGUUUUGGGAACUGUCUUAACAAGUGUGGAAGUGUCCCAGCGAGAUGUUGUAUUCAGCUUCCACUGUGCAUAUAUUAAGCCAGCGUGCGUGUGUGUGCAUGCACACAUGUUCGUGUCUGCAUUCUAUAUUAGAAGGUCUCAGGAAAAGAGUGAUAAAUAAGAUGAA
rnacentral:lncRNA from 1 species